AUCUUCUGUGUGUUCCAUUGCGUGCUGUGUAGAAUUUACCCCCUUUGGCAUAAGCUGUGAAAUGUUUUCAUUGCUGCAGCUCUCAAACAUGUGACCCUGUGACACCACCCCUUACUGGGGAUCUUCAGGAUCUUUAAUCAGAAAUGUUCUUUGCAUCAGGAUUAACUAGAAAAACACUUGUAAUCUCAUUUAUGUCAACUACAGCAAGAGUUGCUUUUAAAAAUCCUGACUUUUGGCUGGACACAGUGGCUCAUGCCUGUAAUCCCAGCACUUUGGGAGGCUGAGGCAGGUGGAUCAUGAAGUCAGGAGUUUGAGACCAGCCUGGCCAAUAUGGUGAAACACCAUAUCUACUAAAAAUACAAAAAAUUAGCCAGGCGUGGUGGUGCACUCCUGGAGUCCCAGCUACUCAGGAGGCUGAGGCAGGAGAAUUGCUUGAAUCCGGUGGGGGAGGUUUCAGUGAGCCGAGAUCACACUACUGCACUCCAGACUGGGUGACAGAGUAAGACUCCCUCUUAAAAAAAAAUUCUUACCUUUCCACCUUUAGAUAGAUAGUAAAAUUAAAUGCAAACACUGUAUCUUGUUUUUCUCAUAUUCUUCCACAGGACGCUCUAUGAGACUGCUCAGUGCCACACUGGUGAAAGAAAAAUCCAAAAGCUACUUGUAAAAAAAACACCCGGAAGACCAGGAAGAGAAGAAAACUUUCUCAGUCUAGUAAAGGGCAUCUGAGAAAAGCCUACAGCUCAUAUAUUUAAUGGUAAAAUAUAAGUCACUUCCUUCCUAACAAGACCAAGAAAUGAAUGAAUAUCCAGUCUUUUUACUUCUAUUCAACAUAUGAAGUUUCUAGUCAUUAUAAAGGGCCAAGAAAAAGAAAUAACAGGCAAAAAGAUUGACAGAGAGGAGUAAAAUUAUUUGCAUAUAACAUGAUCAUUAGCACAAAAAAUUCUAAUAAUGACUAAACUAGUAAGUGAUACUAACAUCGCAGGAUAAACGGCUGAGAUACAUACCAACCACCUUUCUUUAAUUGAUAUUUAUAUGUGUAAUGUCUUUUAUAUACUGACAUAAGACACUUGAAAACUAAAAAUUUUUCAAUCCAGUUAGAAUACCACUGAAAAGUAUGAUAUAUC
rnacentral:lncRNA from 13 species